AGCAGUCGCCACGGUAAUACGUAGGUGGCAAGCGCUGUCCGGAAUUAUUGGGCGUAAAGCGCGCGCAGGCGGUUUCUUAAGUCUGAUGUGAAAGCCCCCGGCUUAACCGGGGAGGGUCAUUGGAAACUGGGAGACUUAGAGUGCAGAAGAGGAGAGUGGAAUUCCAUGUGUAGCGGUGAAAUGCGUAGAUAUAUGGAGGAACACCAGUGGCGAAGGCGACUUUCUGGACGAAAACUGACGCUGAGGCGCGAAAGCCAGGGGAGCGAACGGGAUUAGAUACCCGUGUAGUCCCUGUCUCUUAUA
rnacentral:rRNA from 1 species